ensembl:snRNA U1 U1 spliceosomal RNA
AUACUUAUCUGGCAGGGGAGAUACCAUGAUCAUGAAGGUGGUUUUCCCAGGGCGAGGCUUAUCCAUUGCACUCUGAAUGUACUGACCCCUGUGAUUUAUCCAAAUGUGGGAAACUCGAUUUCAUAAUUUGUGGAGGUGGGGGAUUGCAUUCAUAAUUCUCCUG